rnacentral:lncRNA from 1 species
CAAAGUACAAUGUUUCAUAUUUCGUUCUAAAUUACAUAUCCAAUGGGUCGUAAGUGUCAUGUUACAUAUUUUUGACAAAUAAAAGCUUUCAUUUCCAACACGGCUUUCGAAAUAUUACUCAAAUUUCUACGCUCACGACUAAUGUUUACACCAUUUUCAUCAUCACUAUCACUUAAAUAUAAUGCGACUGUAUCUAUUUUAAAUAUUUGUAAAAACUUACCAAAAAGCUAAGACAAUUUAUUUAAUUUUUCUAUAAUAACUUGUCAAAUUUAUUGAUAACACAGUUUACUGAUGGUGUGGUAAAGUAGGUUAUCGACGGUACCAAUGAUCGCAUGAACAUUUUCGAUCGAAAAUUCUUUCCGAAGCGAAUUCGAUUUCGAUGAGGAUUCAAUAAUUAGACCCAUUGAGUACAAAAUAAGAACAACAAGAGAUAUUGACGAAAGCAUAAGAAAACUCAAUGGUACAUAUAAUAA